rnacentral:lncRNA from 1 species
GUGACAAUAGCCUGGACGAAGAACCCAAACAUGGAGAACAUUGCCAGGCGGCCGUUCUUGAUCUCUUUAACCUUCAAUUCCGCGAAGGCAUCAGGGUCAUCAGCCAAUCCAAGCGGGUCAAAAGCACCACCUGGGUAAAUUGGGUCGAGUCCUUCACCGAGUGGUCCACCACCAACUCUGUACCCUUCAACAAAUCCCAUGAGCACAACUUGGCAAGCCCAGAUAGCAAGAAUACUCUGAGCAUGGAUGAGGUUUGGGUUGCCAAGAUAGUCAAGGCCACCCUCGGAGAAGAUUUGGGAACCAGCCUUGAACCAAACCGCCUCUCCGAACUUGACACCAUUCUUUGAAAGAAUUUCAGGGAAAACACAGCCGAGGGCACCAAGCAUAGCCCACCUACAGUGGAUCACCUCAAGCUCACGGUUCUUGGCAAAUGUCUCAGGGUCAGCUGAUAAUCCAGCAGUGUCCCACCCGUAGUCCCCAGGGAAUUCACCGGUCAGGUAUGAUGGGAUUUGGUCGGAGAAUGGACCCAAGUACUUUGGGCGGUCAGGGCCAUACCUGUUUAUAAGUAAUCAGAACAAUAUUUCCCUCACUCUCAUUUUUUUUGCUCAUAAAUUAGAAUAAUGCAUGCAACAAAAUGUAACGUACCAGAUGCUGGUUGGAGCACUUUUGACGGUUCUACGCAUGGAAACGCGACCACCACCGACGGCACCGACCUUGCAGACGAGCUCAUUGGACUGCUUCAAAGCUGUUUGGCCAGCGAAAGCAGAUUGUUGGAUAGCAGAGGUUGCCAUGGUAAUGCCUGAGAG